GCGAACGCUGGCGGCAGGCCUAACACAUGCAAGUCGAACGGACCCUUCGGGGUUAGUGGCGGACGGGUGAGUAACACGUGGGAACGUGCCUUUAGGUUCGGAAUAGCUCCUGGAAACGGGUGGUAAUGCCGAAUGUGCCCUUCGGGGGAAAGAUUUAUCGCCUUUAGAGCGGCCCGCGUCUGAUUAGCUUGUUGGUGGGGUAAUGGCCCACCAAGGCUACGAUCAGUAGCUGGUCUGAGAGGAUGACCAGCCACAUUGGGACUGAGACACGGCCCAAACUCCUACGGGAGGCAGCAGUGGGGAAUAUUGGACAAUGGGCGCAAGCCUGAUCCAGCCAUGCCGCGUGAGUGAUGAAGGCCUUAGGGUUGUAAAGCUCUUUUGUCCGGGACGAUAAUGACGGUACCGGAAGAAUAAGCCCCGGCUAACUUCGU
rnacentral:rRNA from 1 species